rnacentral:rRNA from 1 species
UACGUAGGGGGCAAGCGUUGUCCGGAAUCAUUGGGCGUAAAGCGCGUGUAGGCGGCCCGAUAAGUCCGCUGUGAAAGUCCAGGGCUCAACCCUGGGAUGCGGGUGGAUACUGUCGGGCUCGAGUCCGGAAGAGGCGAGUGGAAUUCCUGGUGUAGCGGUGAAAUGCGCAGAUAUCAGGAGGAACACCAAUGGCGAAGGCAGCUCGCUGGGACGUGACUGACGCUGAGACGCGAAAGCGUGGGGAGCAAACAGG